CAAAUAUGGCCAGGCACUCAGGCUACCGUUGGUGUGAAGAGUGAGAUCCAUUCUCCAGGAGGAGACUCGAGAUUCCCCUGUUUGGCCAGGGUCGCCUGAGCCGUUUGAUCCUGGUGCAGGGCCAGAUUACCAGUGGCCUGGCAGCUGACAGGGAACUCACCUCUUCUCCUAAUCGCAUGAUCAUUUCCCGCCCUGCAGAGGCCGGUUUUAUAUUGUCCAUUGCUGUCUUCGAAGGGCUGCUUGUCUGGCCCAGGGACGAAAGACGAAGCGACCAGCCCCCUGCAUAGACCAUCAGACCUGGAGGGCCCAGAAAACGCCUCCCAGAGUCCUAACCCUCUGCUCCUUUCUCCCCCUUCCAGUGCUCAGCGUUUUGGACACAACACCCCGCGGGAACGUGCCCUGCCUGGAGGACGCCGGGACACUGCUGGCGGCUGUGAAGAACGAGGCGGCCGUCACAGAGGCACUAGGCUCACUACAUGCCUGAGAUGGAGACGCGGGUGACAUUCCCGGUGGCCAUGAUGGAGCUCUUGGAGCCUCACGGCAGAAGCCUGGUGGCCGCACCGCAGCUUUUCAUGCCAGGCUCCUUAAGGCUGAGAAGCUACAGUCUCAGCAGGAGCUCGUGGUAAGGCCGGGAUAGCAGAAAACUUUGGCAAAGUCUCCAGCAGAAAUGAAGCAUCUCCAGGGAGCUUUGCCUUGUGCUGCGAGAGGAGCUCUCGGCCGCUGUGCAGCACCCGCGGCUCCGAAGUCGACCUCCGAGACCAGAGCCGGGGGGUGGAGAAUUUCGGGGUCCAGGCAGAAGAGGUACUGGACCAGUUCCUGGCCAGUAAAAGGCGGCGGCAGAUGCCAUCCUCAGAGCAGAGCAGGAGAAAGCCAGUCCAGUGCUCGAGUCUGGAGGAUUCCCAAUCGAACCAGACCUAAACAUUCCCUAAUUUCCGCAGACUGCUGAGAAAAAAUGGGUCAGUGCCAUGAAGAGAGGCUUUUCUUUAGCAGCACAAAAGCAGAGACUCACACCCCAUUGCGUGGUGACGGUGCUGGUGACAUCCCC
rnacentral:lncRNA from 1 species